rnacentral:rRNA from 1 species
CACAAGCGGUGGAGCAUGUGGUUUAAUUCGAUGCAACGCGAAGAACCUUACCUACCCUUGACAUGUCCGGAACUUGCCAGAGAUGGCUUGGUGCCGAAAGGGAAUCGGAACACAGGUGCUGCAUGGCUGUCGUCAGCUCGUGUCGUGAGAUGUUGGGUUAAGUCCGCUAACGAGCGCAACCCUCGUCGUAUGUUAUAUGUGUCAUACGAGACUGCCGGUAAAAGCCGGAGGAAGGUGAGGAUGAUGUCAAGUCAGCAUGACCUUUAUAUCCAGGGCUACACACACGCUACAAUGGUCUGUACAAUGGGUAGCCAAGCCGCGAGGCGGAGCCAAUCCUGAAAGCAGGCCUCAGUUCAGAUUGCAGUCUGCAACUCGACUGCAUGAAGCCGGAGUUGCUAGUAACCGCAGGUCAGCAAUACUGCGGUGAAUACGUUCCCGGGUCUU